GAAAAAUGAGGACAACUUACUUAGCCUGAUUUUCUAUGACUGUUAAAGAUCCAACUCUGAUUUCACUCGGUGU